rnacentral:rRNA from 1 species
UUGUGUAUUAUUACUUUGUUGCUUUGGCGAGCUGCCUUCGGGCCUUGUAUGCUCGCCAGAGAAAACCAAAACUCUUUUUAUUAAUGUCGUCUGAGUACUAUAUAAUAGUUAAAACUUUCAACAACGGAUCUCUUGGUUCUGGCAUCGAUGAAGAACGCAGCGAAAUGCGAUAAGUAAUGUGAAUUGCAGAAUUCAGUGAAUCAUCGAAUCUUUGAACGCACAUUGCGCCCCUUGGUAUUCCGGGGGGCAUGCCUGUUCGAGCGUCAUUUCAACCCUCAAGCUUAGCUUGGUAUUGAGUCCAUGUCAGCAAUGGCAGGCUCUAAAAUCAGUGGCGGCGCCGCUGGGUCCUGAACGUAGUAAUAUCUCUCGUUACAGGUUCUCGGUGUGCUUCUGCCAAAACCCAAAUUUUUCUAUGGUUGACCUCGGAUCAGGUAGGGAUACCCGCUGAACUUAAGCAUAUCAAUAAGCGGAGGAA